AUUUCAUGGAGAGUUUGAUCCUGGCUCAGGACGAACGCUGGCGGCGUGCCUAAUACAUGCAAGUCGAGCGGAUCUUGUCCUUCGGGACAAGGUUAGCGGCGGACGGGUGAGUAACACGUGGGUAACCUGCCCAUAAGACUGGGAUAACAUUCGGAAACGAAUGCUAAUACCGGAUACGCGAAUUGGUCGCAUGGCCGAAUCGGGAAAGGCGGAGCAAUCUGCCACUUAUGGAUGGACCCGCGGCGCAUUAGCUAGUUGGUGGGGUAACGGCUCACCAAGGCGACGAUGCGUAGCCGACCUGAGAGGGUGAUCGGCCACACUGGGACUGAGACACG
rnacentral:rRNA from 1 species